UCCAGCUCCAAUAGCGUAUAUUAAAGUUGUUGCCGUUAAAAAGCUCGUAGUUGAACUUCCAUGGCCCCAUGCGGUCUGCCUCACGGUAUGUACUGUGUGGGUCCGUGUUCCUUGGUGGUGAGCCCUGAUGCCGUUUGUUCGGUGUCUCGGUGAACCACCUCUGUUACCUUGAGAAAAUUAGAGUGUUCAAAGCAGGCAAUAUGCCCGAAUACAUUAGCAUGGAAUAACGAAAUAGGACGUGCGGUUCUAUUUUGUUGGUUUCUAGAGUCGCCGUAAUGAUUAAUAGGGAUAGUUGGGGGCAUUAGUAUUCAGUUGCUAGAGGUGAAAUUCUUGGAUUUACUGAAGACUAACUACUGCGAAAGCAUUUGCCAAGGAUGUUUUCAUUAAUCAAGAACGAAGGUUAGGGGAUCGAAAACGAUCAGAUACCGUUGUAGUCUUAACAGUAAACUAUGCCGACUAGGGAUCGGGCGACCUCAAUUUGAUGUGUCGCUCGGCACCUUACGAGAAAUCAAAGUCUUUGGGUUCGGGGGGGAGUAUGGUCGCAAGGCUGAMACUUAAAGGAAUUGSCGGAAGGGCACCACCAGGAGUGGAGCCUGCGC
rnacentral:rRNA from 1 species